AUGUAUUCUGAGGACCACAUCAUACCACGGGAUGAUCUGGUUAAACAAUGGAUAGGUGAAGGCUUUGUCAAUAGUUUGCAUGGGCCAGAUUUGAUGGAUGUUGGCAGGAGUUAUUUCAAUGAGCUCGUCAAUAGAAGCAUGAUCCAGCCAUGCAAAAUUAGCUAUGGAGAGGUGUUGUCUUGCAGAGUACACGACAUGAUGCUUGAUUUGAUCCUAAGCAAGUGUGUAGAAGAUAAUUUUAUAAGUGUGCUAUACAAUUCCGAGGACAUGGCAAGACUACUGAAUCGCUGCAAAAACAAGGUUCGCCGAUUAUCCCUGAGCUCCAUGGCUGUUGGUGGAGCAACAUACGACACGGCUAUUGCUGCUAGGCUGUCACAAGUUCGAUCAUUACUGUUCAAGAUGGGAUGUAAUCGUAUACUCUCUCUUUGGUGGUUCAAGUACCUCAGGGUUCUAAUCAUUGUGCAUGGUGGGCGUGAGAGACUUGACCUGACUAAUGUUAGCCAAUUGUUUCAGCUGAGGUGUCUGACGGUAAGUGCUUUGGUGCUGAUGAAGCUCCCUACUAAACUUGGUGAGCUUGUUUACUUGGAGACACUGGACAUAGAAAACUGCAUGCUGGUGAAUAGCAUCCCCUCGGAUAUAGUUCAUUUGCCCCGCCUGUCCUAUCUGCAUCUUCCAAAUUGGACAGAGUUGCCUGAAGGUAUUGAGAAUAUGAAGUCACUGCACGCCCUGCGAGGGCUUAACAUGCAAAAGAGCUCGCUGGAGUGUUUUGUGGGUCUCAGCAAGCUGACCAAUCUAAGGGAACUGCAUAUGUCAGCAGGUCAUAGUUUGGGGUUGCCAAAAGUUGAUGCUUUGGCUUGCUCCAUUGGAAAGCUCUGUAACCUUGAAUCUCUGGUCAUCUCUGGCCAUCAUGUUGAGCGUGAGGAUAACCAGCAGCUGGGCUCAUUGUCAAAUCCUUUUCAACAUAUUGAGCGUCUUGAAUUGCAUUGCUGGCGGUUUUGGAGAGUUCCAAAAUGGUUGUGUGGUCUCCAUUGCCUGCGCUUCCUCACCCUGUGUGUUAAAGAGACAUCAACUCAGGACGUUUGUCUGCUUGGAGAGCUUCCGUCCCUCGUCCACCUCGAACUCGAAGCAUGUGAAAUCCCUGAUGAAAGAGCUAUGUUAGGCACGGGGCUAUUCCCAGUUCUGGAGUCCCUAAAUUUCUGGUCUAGUAAAGACAUUACGCCGUACCUAGUCUUCGAGGCAGGUGCUAUGCCCAGUUUACGAACACUCUUGUUCACUGUGUUGGACUGGGACGGCACUAUACCAGUCGGCAUGGAGCACUUGUUACACCUCCAGGAGAUCCAAGUGCAUGGGGUCUGCAUUAAUAAUGAUACCGAGGACAUGUUAAAAGAGGCCAAGGACGCGUUCAAGGAGGCCUUGCUGAUGCACCCGAACCGCCCUUCCGUCACAGUUCACAAUUUAUAA
rnacentral:rRNA from 1 species